rnacentral:rRNA from 4 species
UAUUUUAUAAAAAUUUAUUUAAAUUAUUUUAAUUGUAAAAAAACAAUUUUAAAAAAGAAAGACGAUAAGACCCUAUCGAACUUCACUUUAGUUUAACUGGGGCAGUUAAUUAAUUAACAUUUUAAUACAAUUAAAUACUUAAUUUUGACCUAAUAUAAUUAAUAAAAUAAUUAAGUUACCGUAGGGAUAACAGCGUAAUAAAAUUUUUAAGAUCUUAUUUAAAAUAAAGAUUGCGACCUCGAUGUUGAUUUAAUUUCCUAAUUUACGCAAUAGUUAAUUAAGGAAGUCUGUUCGACUUUUAAAAAAUUACAUGAUUUGAGUUCAGACCGGUGUAAACCAG